rnacentral:rRNA from 1 species
CGCGCAGGCGGUCGUUCAAGUCGAGUGUGAAAGCCCCCGGCUCAACUGGGGAGGGUCAUUCGAUACUGAUCGACUGGAAGGCAGGAGAGGGAAGCGGAAUUCCCGGUGUAGUGGUGAAAUGCGUAGAUAUCGGGAGGAACACCAGUGGCGAAGGCGGCUUCCUGGCCUGUUCUUGACGCUGAGGCGCGAAAGCUAGGGGAGCAAACGG